rnacentral:rRNA from 1 species
AGAAUCAACGCUGGCGGCGUGCCUAACACAUGCAAGUCGAACGCGAAAGGGGAGCAAUCCCUGAGUAGAGUGGCAAACGGGUGAGUAACACGUGGGUGACCUGCCUUCGAGUGGGGGAUAACGGUUCCGAAAGGAACGCUAAUACCGCAUGACAUCCUGCUUUUGGAAAAGCGGAGAUCAAAGCUGGGGAUUCGCAAGAACCUAGCGCUUGAAGAGGGGCCCGCGCCUGAUUAGCUAGUUGGUGAGGUAACGGCUCACCAAGGCUACGAUCA